GCCAAGUCCAAGAACCACACCACACACAACCAGUCCCGAAAAUGGCACAGAAUGGCAUCAAGAAACCCCGAUUGCAAAGAUAUGAAUCUCUUAAGGGGGUGGACCCCAAGUUCCUGAGGAACAUGGGCUUUGCCAAGAAGUGCAACAAGAAGGGCCUAAAGAAGAUGCAGGCCAACAAUGCCAAGGCCAUGAGUGCACGUACUGAGGCUAUCAAGGUCCUCAUAAAGCCAAAGGAGGUUAAGCCCAGAUGCCAAAGGGUGUCAGCCUCAAGCUCAAUCAAUUUGCCUACAUUACCCACCCCAAGCUUGGGAAGUGUGCUUGUGCCCGCAUUGCCAAGGGUCUCAGGUUGUGUGGGCCAAAGGCCAAAGCCAAGGAUCAAACCAAGGCCCAGGCUGCAGCUCCAGCUUCAGUUUCAGCUCAGGCUCCCAAAGAUGCCCAGGCCCCUACAAAGACUUCA
rnacentral:lncRNA from 1 species